rnacentral:ncRNA from 1 species
GCGUACACGUUGAGACCCGAAAGAUGGUGAACUAUGCUUGUGAAGGUUGAAGCCAGUGGAAACUCUGGUGGAGGACCGUAGCGAUCCUGACGUACACAUCAAUCGUAUAAGGUGAGUAUAGAGGCGAAAGACUAAUCGAACUAUCUAGUAGCUGGUUCCCUCCGAAGUUUCCUUCAGGAUAGCUGGCAUUCUGAGAAAUAAACAGUUUUAUCC